rnacentral:rRNA from 1 species
CACGCCGUAAACGAAUGCGCGUUAGGUGUAUCGACGACCACGAGUCGUCGAGGUGCCGAAGGGAAACCGUGAAACGUGCCGCCUGGGAAGUACGGUCGCAAGGCUGAAACUUAAAGGAAUUGGCGGGGGGAGGCACCACAACAGGUGGAGCCUGCGGUUUAAUUGGACUCAACGCCGGAAAUCUCACCGGAUAAGACAGCAGAAUGAUUGCCGGGCUGAAGACUCUGCAUGACUAGCUGAGAGGUGGUGCAUGGCGUCAGUGACU